rnacentral:tRNA from 1 species
CGGGAAAAACGCCCUACUAAUACCCUACUAAUUUCCACCACGCCCCACUAACUCAUUGUUCGAACACU